rnacentral:rRNA from 1 species
GACGAACGCGGGCGGCGUGCUUAACACAUGCAAGUCGAACGAAGAGCGAUGGAAGCUUGCUUCUAUCAAUCUUAGUGGCGAACGGGUGAGUAACGCGUAAUCAACCUGCCCUUCAGAGGGGGACAACAGUUGGAAACGACUGCUAAUACCGCAUACGAUCUAAUCUCGGCAUCGAGGAUAGAUGAAAGGUGGCCUCUACAUGUAAGCUAUCACUGAAGGAGGGGAUUGCGUCUGAUUAGCUAGUUGGAGGGGUAACGGCCCACCAAGGCGAUGAUCAGUAGCCGGUCUGAGAGGAUGAACGGCCACAUUGGGACUGAGACACGGCCCAGACUCCUACGGGAGGCAGCAGUGGGGAAUCUUCCGCAAUGGACGAAAGUCUGACGGAGCAACGCCGCGUGAGUGAUGACGGCCUUCGGGUUGUAAAGCUCUGUUAAUCGGGACGAAAGGCCUUCUUGCGAAUAGUGAGAAGGAUUGAC